rnacentral:rRNA from 1 species
GAUGAACGCUGGCGGCGUGCCUAAUACAUGCAAGUCGAGCGAAGCGGGGACGGUUGAGUAACAGGUGGAAAACCUCCUAUAAGUACGGAAUAACUUGGGGUAACCGGAGCUAAACCGGCUAUUUGAUUAUGGAUCCGCGGUGCAUUAGCUAGUUGGUAAGGUAACGGCUUACAAAGGCAACGAUGCAUAGCCGACCUGAGAGGGUGAUCGGCCACACUGGGACUGAGACACGGUCCAGACUCCUACGGGAGGCAGCAGUAGGGAAGCUUCCGCAAUGGGCGAAAGCCUGACGGAGCAACGCCGCGUGAGUGAUGAAGGUCUUCGGAUCGUAAAACUCUGUUAUUAGGGAAGCGGUACCUAAUCAGAAAGCCACGGCUAACUACGUGCCAGCCGCCGCGGUAAUAC